GAGACGGCAAUUUUGACUGGCCGUUUGUUGACAGGGAGAGAAGGUGACUUCUCGGCUAAAGGAGAAGUACCUUCGACUAUUUCUAUUAAAAAGUGCAUUUAAAAGACCAACUGGAGUAUAUAUACCACCAUGACUUCUUUUGGGAAGGCGUUCGGAGUCCUUCGCACGGGAGCUCAGCUGCUGAGGCAAAGCCCGGGAAGAAUAACGAGCAGAAAAGCCAGCGGCGGGCCCCACAUCGAACCGCAGUACAGACAGUACCCCCAACUGACGAAGAAUCAGAAGUUUCAAGCUGAGUUCCUCAGUGGUGCCAUGUGGUUCUGGAUUCUGUGGCACUGCUGGCAUGACCCAGAUGCAGUUCUGGGUCAUUUCCCCUGGCCUGAUGCCUCUCAGUGGACAGACGAGGAGCUCGGUAUUCCCCCUGAUGAUGAAGAAUGAGGUGCAGCUACUCUCAUUUUACACCCGCGUGUCGUCUUGACCCACUAACAUGAUCGCCAUAAAGGAUUCCAGCUGUUUGGCUCAUCUGUGUGGAAGUCUUCAAGGUUUUCUGAAAGUUGUACAUAGACUAAUAAAAUUCUAUGAAGUAA